rnacentral:rRNA from 1 species
AGUGAACGCUGGCGGUAGGCCUAACACAUGCAAGUCGAGCGGCAGCACAGUAAGAGCUUGCUCUUACGGGUGGCGAGUGGCGGACGGGUGAGGAAUACAUCGGAAUCUACUUUUUCGUGGGGGAUAACGUAGGGAAACUUACGCUAAUACCGCAUACGACCUACGGGUGAAAGCAGGGGAUCUUCGGACCUUGCGCGAGUGAAUGAGCCGAUGUCGGAUUAGCUAGUUGGCGGGGUAAAGGCCCACCAAGGCGACGAUCCGUAGCUGGUCUGAGAGGAUGAUCAGCCACACUGGAACUGAGACACGGUCCAGACUCCUACGGGAGGCAGCAGUGGGGAAUAUUGGACAAUGGGCGCAAGCCUGAUCCAGCCAUACCGCGUGGGUGAAGAAGGCCUUCGGGUUGUAAAGCCCUUUUGUUGGGAAAGAAAAGCAGCAGGUUAAUACCCCGCUGUUCUGACGGUACCCAAAGAAUAAGCACCGGCUAACUUCGUG